CAGCAUACCCAGAAGCUACAGAGAUGGAGAGAGAGGAACAGAACAAACAAACAAUGCGCUCAUCCACAACAUUGAUAAGUAUAAUAAUUAUUGUAUCUCUCAAAUAUGAACAUUGACAAGUGUGAAAUGCAUGCACCAAGACAGAAGUUAAAUUGUGUGUCGACCCACAUUGUUAACUUAUGGUAUAAUGGCGCAGGGAGGAGUGAUGAAUAUGUGUGUGCGUUAAAGAACCAAAUGCUGCCCGCGGCCAGUGACGGACUUCUACGUCACACAAUCGAUAUGCUGAUAGAAUUUAGGGAGCCUUGUUUUAAGAUUAGCCUUGUUAAAAUCCCCAGUUACAAUAAAUACAGCCUCAGGAUAUGUGGUUUCCAGUUUACAUAGAGUCAAAUGAAGUCCAUUCAGGGCCGUCGAUGUGUCUGCUUGGGGGGGAUAUGCGGCUGUGAUUAUAGUCGAAGAGAAUUCUCUUGGUCGGCAUUUCAUUGUGAGGAAUUCUAAGUCAGGUGAACAGAAGGACUUGAGUUCCUGUAUGUUGUUAUGAUCACACCACAUCUCGUUAAUCAUAAGGCAUACACCCCCGCCCUUCUUCUUACCAGAAAGAUGCUUGUUUCUGUCGGCGUGAUGUGUGAAGAAACCAGCUGGCUGUACCGACUCCGAUAGCGUGUCUCGAGUGAGCUAUGUUUCCAUGAAACAAAGAAGGUUACAGUCUCUGAUGUCUCUCUGGAAGGCUACCCUUCUCCUCUGAAUGGCCUGUCAAAUUUUGCGAAAAGCACAAACCCAGACAGAAUGCAAGUAGAGUACCUAAGUAGCUGCAGUUCGGAAGAAGCUCUUUACCACACACUGGCAAGAGACGCACUGAUUGUUUCGUUAUGGUCUAAGAUAUUACGGUAAAGAUUAUGAAACAGUGUGUAUCUUUUUUCUCUUCAUAUUUGGGAUUCAACAGAACAACAGGAAUGUGUACUCGUCACAAAGAACUGUUCAAUCAAGUGGUCACUAAAUAUUUUAAGCAGAUCACUGUGUGUGUGUGUGUGUGUGUGUGUGUGUGUGUGUGUGUGUGUGUGUGUGUGUGUGUGUGUGUGUGUGUGUGUGUGUGUGUGUGUGUGUGUGUGUGUGUGUGUGUGUGUGUGUGUGUGUGUGUGUGUGUGUGUUGUCAUGACGUUGCCUGUUGGGUAAGGUUUAUGACCCCCCCCAUAAAUACCUUUCCCCCUUUUCUCUCCACUCUACAGAAUGGACUCUUGGAAAGCCCUUUGUUAACAUAGAGAGAGUAUGGUAACAUCAAAAGGUUGGGGAAUGAAACAAUAUCUCCAUUUCUCAACCAGUUGAAAGUGUCCGAUGGUACCUAAAGAAUAUGAUGUCAGAGCAGUUGGUGUCUGGGACAUUAUAUCUUGAUGAUCGGAUCACAUAAAUUGUAUCGGAAAGUCUAUUGGAAAGUCUACACAAUCUAGUUAUCAGAUUCACAUGGAAUUGUUAUGCAAUUGAAACUAUUUGUGAAAGGAUGAAAAAAUGUAAGUUUAGCUUCUAAAUGAGUUGUUUUCAUAAGUAAACUAUGCUCAAUCAGUGGCCACGCCCAAGUGAACAAACAUUGGUUGAGAACUAUGAAACACGCCCUUCUCUGCCACAGUACAAAAGCCCGUCGACAGAAGUCAACCUUAGUUCCAGAUGACGUGAGGAAUGGUGUUCAUAAGUUUAAAAAGGCUAAUUUCAACUACAACCUAACGACAUUUAGUUCCAGAAAUGUUAGGACUGCUGUCUUAACGUUUAAAAGGGCAAUUUUCAAAGUGGAGCUGACGAUCACCACGCUGGAAUGGUGAAUUUUGACUAAACCAGCCAGAAUGCAGCACAAGCUGAUGAUGGGAACUUGGUAUGAACUUUGAGCGAUUAUUCACUAAAGAAGUGAUAUGUUCUAGAUGUCGAGUUAUCAGCUGCAGCUGUAAACGUACUUGGCCUAGAAAAGGACGGACAAUCUCCAAAGAACGACAGGGUACUUUAACGUAUCCACUCUACAACACUACGAGCAGAAAUAUUAAUCAAAGGACAAUGUGGGUCUCUGCUGGGUAAGCCAGUCUUCCUUCUUCGAACCAUCUAUCGAAGGGCAGCUCAGAGUAAAUAGAAAUAUUGCAUUUUCCUUUUCCGAAUGGGCGGGUAUUAGAGUGCAUAAGAUUCUGUAUUUAUGGUAGCAUAGCUUCUUAAGGUCCAAUAGACCCAAUCCCUUCCUUUGUGUAACCAGCAGUCAUAUCGGGUUAGCCCACUGGGGGCUUUUCAUGAUUAGUAAUCGAUGUGUGAUCUAUCCUGUGUAUAUAUAUAUGUAAUUCUGUGUGACUAUUUAGUAAAUAAAUAAUUAAGCUAAUUUGUGUAUUGCUGAUGAAUGCCUCCAUGGUGCCCCAGGUUAUUAAUGGUUUAAUUGUUGCAUGGUUUAAUUCAAUCACAUAAUCAAUUAAACGUUAGGUAAUCGAUUUUAUAAAAUAGCAUGUCAUAUAAUUUAAUCAUAGUCAGACACGGCAGUGUUUAUUAAAAAAAACGACUUCUUUGGAUUCCAGGAUCAUCGCCCAUUUACUCAGUGAUCCUCUACGUAUCAGAAAGCUCUUGAGCACUCUAAAUAAACGUUCAAACGAAGGCUGAGAGCCAGUGCUUUGGAACAGGAUUCAAACUAAAUUCAAUGCCCUGGCAUCACAAUACACUUGACUUAAUUGAGCUACAUAAUCAAUUUUAGGAUGAUUUGGACAUGAAACAUGAAAAAUGCUAAUAUCGGGAUAUUAACUUGCAUUGAAUUUGUACCACAAAUGCAAAAAGUUAGCAUUUGGAGACAUUGGCCUGGUGAGUAACCAAAGUAUGGAUUGCUGUCUUACGAUGCGCACACUUCAAUGAGGCCAAAGUCUGUGUGUUGUUGUGAUCAACACAAUCUCACACUCAAUUCGUGGAAAAAUGUACAAAAAGUAUUUCAGCAGAUUGCAUGUGUUUUUGUGUGGCUUAAUUUGUGUGAAAAUACACACAUUUUUGUGAGACUUAAUUCAUAAGAAAGGACACACAAAAAAUGUGUAACUUCAUUCAUAAGAAAAUGUAUUUUUGGGGGGCAAACUUCAGAACAAUCUUUUGAAAGUUGUUGGAGCAAUGCAUUUUGCGCAAUGGUGUUCUACACUGCCUUUUUUUGUAUCCCACAUUUAUUUAUAUAAAAAAACAAUGGUGUUAAUAACCCAAAAUUGUUAAUCAGCCAGGUUGUCACCGAAAUACAUAUAGUACAAUAGUAGUCUAAUUUAAAAAAAAAAAUAUAUAUAUAUAUAUAUUCCUCCAUGCAGAUCUCCUCUAGAGCAGUGAUGUUUUGGGGCUGUUGCUGGGCAACAUGGACUUUCAACUCCCUCCAAAGAUUUUCUUUGGGAGGAAUGGGCCAAAAUACCAGCAACAGUGUGUGAAAACCUUGUGAAGACUUACAGAAAACGUUUGACCUCUGCCAUUGCCAAAAAGGGUAUAUAACAAAGUAUUGAGAAACUUUUGUUAUUGACCAAAUACUUAUUUUUCACCAUAAUUUGCAAAUAAAUAAAUUAAAAAUCCUACAAUGUGAUUUUCUGGAUUUUUUUCUCCAAUUUUGUCUGUCAUAGUUGAAGUGUACCUAUGAUGAAAAUUACAGGCCUCUCUCAUCUUUUUAAGUGGGAGAACUUGCACAAUUGGUGGCUGACUAAAUACUUUUUUUGCCCCACUGUAACUAGCAACAAUGACAAGAAGCUGCUAUGUGGGGAAUCGUAGGUGGCUCAUUUCAGCUAGUUUUGUCUUGUUCUUGAUACCAUAUCUUGUUAUGAGAUGUUUUGACUGAUGUCACAUCUAUACAAUAUGGCAAAAUGUUGCUAGCUAGCUAACCAACAAUGUAACAAUGUACUUACAGAGAAC
ensembl:lncRNA